rnacentral:lncRNA from 1 species
CUGGGCGACAGUUCGAGGCGGCUUCGCGGCGCUGGUCAGAGCAGGCGCCGACACGAAGCAAAUUAUCUUCCGGGACUUCAGGGACUCCGGUCGGGUAACUCGCUCACCGCCAAAAUUGCUUGCUUCUGUACCGUCAGGGGAGAUGGGCUAUGGGCUGAGGAGAGGCAACGAACGAGUGCCAUAUCAAUUUUCUCAUUAGUUUCUUUUGAUCGUGCGCGGAGUGAAGGGUCGGUGAGUAGAGUAGCAAUGAAGGUUUUUCUGUCCGAUGGCGACGACUUUCAGCCCCGUUUCUUCUGGGUUUGUUCGACUGCGUCCACCGCCCAGUCCAACGGGAAGGAAGAACAAGCGGAUAGAAGGCUUCUGUGGGGAUAAGGUCAGUGUGAGAGAGUGGGCGUUUUUGACUCCGAGAAUAAAGUGGACGUAGUGUUUUACUGGAGGGGGUGCACAGUGGCAAGAUACCGCAGGGUUUUCACCGAAUGUGCCAGUUCCAUAUGAAUUCCCCGGUUCUUGCUGAAGGCCGUUUGACAAAAAAAACUGUCUUGCUGAUGCCCGAGAGAGGUGAAAUUUGGGAUUGAGAUUGUACCAGAGAGGGGAAAUGGAAGGUAACGUGUUUCAACGGCAGGGAUUGCGAACGAGACAUUCGACAUGGUAUGAAACGCAGCACGUGUGUUCUGAGGGUCUUUUGCCAGAAUUCCAUAUUAAGAAGCGGGUGCAUAGUACAGAGAAGUGUUCUCAGCAGGAGCCUAACAGACUGAGACGGGAUGAGACGGACUAUUGAUGUGGAGUGCGUGUUUCCUCUCCAAGCGAAUGCCGCGGACGAGACAAGAGUUCGGGACGGAAAAAUGGAAUACGCCGUCCAGGGAGCACCCGAUCCCUGGGUCAUAUCCGCGCGAUGUGCAGUAGGCCAUGUUGGCGUGAUAUUUCAUAAGGGCUGCAGUACCCUGUAGCUGGGCCUGUCUUUGGCUAUCCGAAUGGCACAACCAUCAGUCGUUCCCCCGGUCAUGACAAGUGGUCAUCGAUUGAUCGCCGAGCAGAGAAGAGCAAGAUGGGCAUGCGUCUUGGAGCCCUGGCCACGUUUGAUAUGUUGUGUAUGCUGCAAACCCCAUUGUUAUCGAACAUGCACUACACUCGUGAGGCAGCCCUCAUUCAAAGGUGGUG